GCCGAAGCGACGUCGUCAUCAGGAGCGACAUCGAUGCGAGCGCGUACGUACGUCCUUUGAGAAGAGACGGAAGAUGCUAGCGAGGAGAGAGAAACAUAUUUUUCGGCUUUCAAUCAAUCAUCACGGUGCCUAGUGCAUCGCAUUACUCAUUCAACUCCCAACCACGAAGGGCAGUAGUCACAUGGCAUCGCACAAUUUGUUUGCAGGUACUCGGAGAUGCUGUCGCCGCAGUUAUGACCCCCUGGACUUCCCCUGUUCAUCAGGGGGAGUCCAGGGACCCGUCCCCUGGGACUGCGCGGCCUCCCACCGCCCCCGGGGUCCCAGGGGACCCAGUCCCCGAGGACAUGUCCUCGGGGAUGCGGUAUCCCCGCUGGAGGGGAUGCCAUAUCCCGAGGGACAU
rnacentral:misc_RNA from 1 species